UGGCGACCGGCGCACGGGUGAGUAACACGUAUCCAACCUGCCGUCUACUCUUGGACAGCCUUCUGAAAGGAAGAUUAAUACAAGAUGGCAUCAUGAGUCCGCAUGUUCACAUGAUUAAAGGUAUUCCGGUAGACGAUGGGGAUGCGUUCCAUUAGAUAGUAGGCGGGGUAACGGCCCACCUAGUCUUCGAUGGAUAGGGGUUCUGAGAGGAAGGUCCCCCACAUUGGAACUGAGACACGGUCCAAACUCCUACGGGAGGCAGCAGUGAGGAAUAUUGGUCAAUGGGCGAGAGCCUGAACCAGCCAAGUAGCGUGAAGGAUGACUGCCCUAUGGGUUGUAAACUUCUUUUAUAAAGGAAUAAAGUCGGGUAUGCAUACCCGUUUGCAUGUACUUUAUGAAUAAGGAUCGGCUAACUCCGUGCCAGCAGCCGCGGUAAU
rnacentral:rRNA from 1 species